GACAGAGGGGGCAAGCGUUGCUCGGAAUUACUGGGCGUAAAGGGCGCGUAGGCGGGAUGGCAAGUCGGUCGUGAAAUCCUUCGGCUCAACCGAAGAACGUCGAUCGAUACUGCUGUUCUUGAGGGUUGCAGAGGAGACUGGAAUUCUCGGUGUAGCAGUGAAAUGCGUAGAUAUCGAGAGGAACACCAGUGGCGAAGGCGAGUCUCUGGACAUUUCCUGACGCUGAGGCACGAAAGCCAGGGGAGCAAACGGG
rnacentral:rRNA from 1 species